rnacentral:rRNA from 1 species
GAUGAACGCUGGCGGCGUGCUUAACACAUGCAAGUCGAACGGAAAGGCCGAAGCUUGCUUCGGUACUCGAGUGGCGAACGGGUGAGUAACACGUGGGUGAUCUGCCCUGUACUUCGGGAUAAGCUUGGGAAACUGGGUCUAAUACCGGAUAUGACAAUCUCUUGGAUGGGGUUGUGGAAAGCUUUUGCGGUAUGGGAUGGGCUCGCGGCCUAUCAGCUUGUUGGUGGGGUAAUGGCCUACCAAGGCGUCGACGGGUAGCCGGCCUGAGAGGGUGUACGGCCACAUUGGGACUGAGAUACGGCCCAGACUCCUACGGGAGGCAGCAGUGGGGAAUAUUGCACAAUGGGCGCAAGCCUGAUGCAGCGACGCCGCGUGGGGGAUGACGGCCUUCGGGUUGUAAACUCCUUUCGCAACCGACGAAGCUUUUGUGACGGUAGGUUGAGAAGAAGCACCGGCUAACUACGUG